GGACGGGUGAGUAACGCGUGGGUAACCUGCCUUAUACAGGGGGAUAACAGUCAGAAAUGGCUGCUAAUACCGCAUAAGCGCACAGAGCUGCAUGGCUCAGUGUGAAAAACUCCGGUGGUAUAAGAUGGACCCGCGUUGGAUUAGCUUGUUGGUGAGGUAACGGCCCACCAAGGCGACGAUCCAUAGCCGGCCUGAGAGGGUGAACGGCCACAUUGGGACUGAGACACGGCCCAGACUCCUACGGGAGGCAGCAGUGGGGAGUAUUGCACAAUGGGGGAAACCCUGAUGCAGCGACGCCGCGUGAAGGAAGAAGUAUUUCGGUAUGUAAACUUCU
rnacentral:rRNA from 1 species